UGUCUCAAAGAUUAAGCCAUGCAUGUCUAAGUAUAAGCAAUUAUACAGCGAAACUGCGAAUGGCUCAUUAUAUAAGUUAUCGUUUAUUUGAUAGUGCCUUACUACUUGGAUAACUGUGGUAAUUCUAGAGCUAAUACAUGCUACAAACCUCGACUUCGGGAGAGGAGUACUUAUUAGAUUAAAAGCCAAUGCCCUCUGGGCUCACUGGUGAAUCAUGAUAAUUUAACGAAUCGCACGGCCUUGCGCCGGCGAUGGCUCAUUCAAAUUUCUUCCCUAUCAACUUUCGAUGUUUGGGUAUUGGCCAAACAUGGUAGCAACGGGUAACGGAGGGUUAGGGCUCGACCCCGGAGAAGGAGCCUGAGAAACGGCUACUACAUCCAAGGAAGGCAGCAGGCGCGCAAAUUACCCAAUGCCGACACGGCGAGGUAGUGACAAUACAUACUGAUACAGGGCUCUUUCGGGUCUUGUAAUCGGAAUGAGUACAAUUUAAAUCCCUUAACGAGGAACAAUUGGAGGGCAAGUCUGGUGCCAGCAGCCGCGGUAAUUCCAGCUCCAAUAGCGUAUAUUAAAGUUGUUGUGGUUAAAAAGCUCGUAGUUGAACCUUGGGCCUGGCCGACCGGUCCGCCUCACCGUGUGCACUGGUUCGGCUGGGUCUUUCCCUCUGUGGAACCUCAUGCCCUUUAUUGGGCGUGCUGGGGAAACAGAACUUUUACUUUGAAAAAAUUAGAGUGCUUCAGGCAGGCCAAUGCUCGAAUACAUUAGCAUGGAAUAAUAAAAUAGGACGUGUGGUUCUAUUUUGUUGGUUUCUAGGACCACCGUAAUGAUUAAUAGGGACAGUCGGGGGCAUCAGUAUUCAAUUGUCAGAGGUGAAAUUCUUGGAUUUAUUGAAGACUAACUACUGCGAAAGCAUUUGCCAAGGAUGUUUUCAUUAAUCAGGAACGAAAGUUAGGGGAUCGAAAACGAUCAGAUACCGUUGUAGUCUUAACCAUAAACUAUGCCGACUAGGGAUCGGACGAUGUUAUUUUUUGACUCGUUCGGCACCUUACGAGAAAUCAAAGUGCUUGGGCUCCAGGGGGAGUAUGGUCGCAAGGCUGAAACUUAAAGAAAUUGACGGAAGGGCACCACCAGGGGUGGAGCCUGCGGCUUAAUUUGACUCAACACGGGGAAACUCACCAGGUCCAGACAUGCUUAGGAUUGACAGAUUGAGAGCUCUUUCAUGAUUGCUUGGAAGGUGGUGCAUGGCCGUUCUUAGUUGGUGGGGCGACUUGUCUGCUUAAUUGCGUUAACGAACGAGACCUUAACCUGCUAAAUAGCCCGUAUUGCUUUGGCAGUAUGUUGGCUUCUUAGAGGGACUUUUGACGCAAGUUAAAGGAAGUUUGAGGCAAUAACAGGUCUGUGAUGCA
rnacentral:rRNA from 1 species